UACGUAGGGAGCAAGCGUUGUCCGGAAUCAUUGGGCGUAAAGAGCGCGUAGGCGGUCCGGUAAGUCGGUUGUGAAAACUGGGGGCUCAACCCUCAGACGCCGACCGAUACUGUCGGGCUAGAGUCCGGAAGAGGCGAGUGGAAUUCCUGGUGUAGCGGUGAAAUGCGCAGAUAUCAGGAGGAACACCAAUGGCGAAGGCAGCUCGCUGGGACGGUACUGACGCUGAGGCGCGAAAGCGUGGGGAGCAAACAGG
rnacentral:rRNA from 1 species